CGACCUCAGAUAAGACGAGAGUACCCGCUGAACGUAAGCAUAUCACUAAGUGGAGGAAAAGAAACUAACUAGGAUUCCCCUAAUAAUGGCGAAUGAAGCGAGAAGAGCACAACACCGAAUCCCGCAGCCUUACGCUGCAGGGAACUGUGGUCUUUAGGACGUCUACUGUUGCAGUGUUCGGGUGCCCAAGUCCUCCUGAUCGGGGCCUUUCCCAGAGUGGGUGUCAGGCCUUUACUGGCACUCGACGCUGUGGUUCUGAACGUCCUUGGAGUCGGGUUGUUUGAGAAUGCAGCCCACAGUGGGUGGUAAACUCCAUCUAAGGCUAAAUACCGACACGAGUCCGAUAGCGGACAAGUACCGUGAGGGAAAGUUGAAAAGAACUGUGAAGAGAGAGUUCAAGAGUAUGUGAAACUGCUUAG
rnacentral:ncRNA from 1 species